rnacentral:rRNA from 1 species
AGCGAACGCUGGCGGCAGGCCUAACACAUGCAAGUCGAACGAACUCUUCGGAGUUAGUGGCGGACGGGUGAGUAACACGUGGGAACGUGCCUUUAGGUUCGGAAUAACUCAGGGAAACUUGUGCUAAUACCGAAUGUGCCCUUCGGGGGAAAGAUUUAUCGCCUUUAGAGCGGCCCGCGUCUGAUUAGCUAGUUGGUGAGGUAAAGGCUCACCAAGGCGACGAUCAGUAGCUGGUCUGAGAGGAUGAUCAGCCACAUUGGGACUGAGACACGGCCCAAACUCCUACGGGAGGCAGCAGUGGGGAAUCUUGCGCAAUGGGCGAAAGCCUGACGCAGCCAUGCCGCGUGAAUGAUGAAGGUCUUAGGAUUGUAAAAUUCCUUCACCGGGGACGAUAAUGACGGUACCCGGAGAAGAAGCCCCGGCUAACUUCGUG